rnacentral:rRNA from 1 species
ACGCACGCUGGCGGCGUGCUUAACACAUGCCAGUCGAACGGAAAGGCCCUGCUUUUGUGGGGUGCUCGAGUGGCGAACGGGUGAGUAACACGUGAGUAACCUGCCCUUGACUUUGGGAUAACUUCAGGAAACUGGGGCUAAUACCGGAUAGGAGCUCCUGCUGCAUGGUGGGGGUUGGAAAGUUUCGGCGGUUGGGGAUGGACUCGCGGCUUAUCAGCUUGUUGGUGGGGUAGUGGCUUACCAAGGCUUUGACGGGUAGCCGGCCUGAGAGGGUGACCGGCCACAUUGGGACUGAGAUACGGCCCAGACUCCUACGGGAGGCAGCAGUGGGGAAUAUUGCACAAUGGGCGGAAGCCUGAUGCAGCAACGCCGCGUGCGGGAUGACGGCCUUCGGGUUGUAAACCGCUUUCGCCUGUGACGAAGCGUGAGUGACGGUAAUGGGUAAAGAAGCACCGGCUAACUACGUG